rnacentral:rRNA from 1 species
AAUGAAACCAGAUAUGACUUAGUGGCGGACGGGUGAGUAACACGUGAGCAACCUGCCUUUCAGAGGGGGAUAACGGCUGGAAACGGUCGCUAAUACCGCAUGACAUAGCGGAACCGCAUGGUUUUGUUAUCAAAGAUUUUAUCGCUGAAAGAUGGGCUCGCGUCUGAUUAGCUAGUUGGUAGUGUAACGGACUACCAAGGCGAUGAUCAGUAGCCGGACUGAGAGGUUGAACGGCCACAUUGGGACUGAGAUACGGCCCAGACUCC